rnacentral:hammerhead_ribozyme from 1 species
CUGCGAAACGACCAUAUCGUGCAUAUCCUCGAUAUGGUCGUCGCCCGGAGGUGGCGCUCCGGGCCUGAUGAUGCAGCCAACU